UGGGGAAUAUUGGACAAUGGGCGAAAGCCUGAUCCAGCCAUGCCGCGUGUGUGAAGAAGGUCUUCGGAUUGUAAAGCACUUUAAGUUGGGAGGAAGGGUUGUAGAUUAAUACUCUGCAAUUUUGACGUUACCGACAGAAUAAGCACCGGCUAACUAUGUGCCAGCAGCCGCGGUAAUACAGAGGGUGCAAGCGUUAAUCGGAAUUACUGGGCGUAAAGCGCGCGUAGGUGGUUUGUUAAGUUGGAUGUGAAAUCCCCGGGCUCAACCUGGGAACUGCAUUCAAAACUGACUGACUAGAGUAUGGUAGAGGGUGGUGGAAUUUCCUGUGUAGCGGUGAAAUGCGUAGAUAUAGGAAGGAACACCAGUGGCGAAGGCGACCACCUGGACUAAUACUGACACUGAGGUGCGAAAGCGUGGGGAGCAAACAGGAUUAGAUACCCCAGUAGUCCCUGAGCGGGCUGGCAAGGCGCAU
rnacentral:rRNA from 1 species